GAGCUCCGGGAGCGGCCCGCGCAGGUAAGUUUCUCCGCCGCCGCCCGGGGCCCGGGCUGGCCGCAGCGCACCGCCCCGGCGGCUGCCGGGCAGGAGGAGCCUCGGUUCCCCUCGGGCGGCUGAAGGAGGGGCUGAGCCUCAGGACCCCUAGGCCAGGCCGUGCUGAAAGCAGAUACCCCGAGCCCUCGCCCAGCCUGAGCUGGAGGGAAGAAGGCGCUGGAGGAGCACCAGUGAAAGCAGCCAGUCUGAGAUAUUGA
rnacentral:lncRNA from 1 species